rnacentral:rRNA from 1 species
CACCUCUGGCGUCGAGCGGCGGACGGGUGAGUAAUGCUUGGGAAUAUGCCUUAUGGUGGGGGACAACAGUUGGAAACGACUGCUAAUACCGCAUGAUGUCUACGGACCAAAGUGGGGGACCUUCGGGCCUCACGCCAUAAGAUUAGCCCAAGUGGGAUUAGCUAGUUGGUGAGGUAAUGGCUCACCAAGGCGACGAUCCCUAGCUGGUUUGAGAGGAUGAUCAGCCACACUGGGACUGAGACACGGCCCAGACUCCUACGGGAGGCAGCAGUGGGGAAUAUUGCACAAUGGGCGCAAGCCUGAUGCAGCCAUGCCGCGUGUGUGAAGAAGGCCUUCGGGUUGUAAAGCACUUUCAGUAAGGAGGAAAGGUUAAGUGUUAAUAGCGCUUAGCUGUGACGUUACUUACAGAAGAAGCACCGGCUAACUCCGUGCCAGCAGCCGCGGUAAUACGGAGGGUGCGAGCGUUAAUCGGAAUUACUGGGCGUAAAGCGUACGCAGGCGGUUUGUUAAGCGAGAUGUGAAAGCCCCGGGCUCAACCUGGGAACUGCAUUUCGAACUGGCAAACUAGAGUGUGAUAGAGGGUGGUAGAAUUUCAGGUGU